rnacentral:rRNA from 1 species
AAAUUGAAGAGUUUGAUCAUGGCUCAGAUUGAACGCUGGCGGCAGGCCUAACACAUGCAAGUCGAGCGGUAGCACAGAGAGCUUGCUCUCGGGUGACGAGCGGCGGACGGGUGAGUAAUGUCUGGGAAACUGCCUGAUGGAGGGGGAUAACUACUGGAAACGGUAGCUAAUACCGCAUAAUGUCGCAAGACCAAAGUGGGGGACCUUCGGGCCUCAUGCCAUCAGAUGUGCCCAGAUGGGAUUAGCUAGUAGGUGGGGUAACGGCUCACCUAGGCGACGAUCCCUAGCUGGUCUGAGAGGAUGACCAGCCACACUGGAACUGAGACACGGUCCAGACUCCUACGGGAGGCAGCAGUGGGGAAUAUUGCACAAUGGGCGCAAGCCUGAUGCAGCCAUGCCGCGUGUGUGAAGAAGGCCUUCGGGUUGUAAAGCACUUUCAGCGGGGAGGAAGGCGGUGAGGUUAAUAACCUCAUCGAUUGACGUUACCCGCAGAAGAAGCACCGGCUAACUCCGUGCCAGCAGCCGCGGUAAUACGGAGGGUGCAAGCGUUAAUCGGAAUUACUGGGCGUAAAGCGCACGCAGGCGGUCUGUCAAGUCGGAUGUGAAAUCCCCGGGCUCAACCUGGGAACUGCAUUCGAAACUGGCAGGCUAGAGUCUUGUAGAGGGGGGUAGAAUUCCAGGUGUAGCGGUGAAAUGCGUAGAGAUCUGGAGGAAUACCGGUGGCGAAGGCGGCCCCCUGGACAAAGACUGACGCUCAGGUGCGAAAGCGUGGGGAGCAAACAGGAUUAGAUACCCUGGUAGUCCACGCCGUAAACGAUGUCGAUUUGGAGGUUGUGCCCUUGAGGCGUGGCUUCCGGAGCUAACGCGUUAAAUCGACCGCCUGGGGAGUACGGCCGCAAGGUUAAAACUCAAAUGAAUUGACGGGGGCCCGCACAAGCGGUGGAGCAUGUGGUUUAAUUCGAUGCAACGCGAAGAACCUUACCUGGUCUUGACAUCCACAGAACUUUCCAGAGAUGGAUUGGUGCCUUCGGGAACUGUGAGACAGGUGCUGCAUGGCUGUCGUCAGCUCGUGUUGUGAAAUGUUGGGUUAAGUCCCGCAACGAGCGCAACCCUUAUCCUUUGUUGCCAGCGGUCCGGCCGGGAACUCAAAGGAGACUGCCAGUGAUAAACUGGAGGAAGGUGGGGAUGACGUCAAGUCAUCAUGGCCCUUACGACCAGGGCUACACACGUGCUACAAUGGCAUAUACAAAGAGAAGCGACCUCGCGAGAGCAAGCGGACCUCAUAAAGUAUGUCGUAGUCCGGAUUGGGAGUCUGCAACUCGACUCCAUGAAGUCGGAAUCGCUAGUAAUCGUAGAUCAGAAUGCUACGGUGAAUACGUUCCCGGGCCUUGUACACACCGCCCGUCACACCAUGGGAGUGGGUUGCAAAAGAAGUAGGUAGCUUAACCUUCGGGAGGGCGCUUACCACUUUGUGAUUCAUGACUGGGGUGAAGUCGUAACAAGGUAACCGUAGGGGAACCUGCGGUUGGAUCACCUCCUUACCUUAAAGAA